UCAGUCGUUUUUUAACAGCGCGUGCUACAACUUGAAUAUUCUCAGCUCCAAUCCGAAAGCUCCCGAGGCUCCACGCUUGCCGCCUCAUAAACAAACAGUUAGAAAAACUCUCUGCGUUCCGCGUGUGUGAGUGUUGGUGUGUGUGAGUGUUUGCGUUUUGUUGCUGGCACACGGUUCGGUUGCCCUCAUUGUGCUCUGGUGCAAAUGAAAAUUUCAUUGAGCAGAAAAACUACACAUUAAAUAUGCAGAUAAACAAUAAAUAAUUAGGAACCUAAGUUUAGCCUGAAAAUCAAAGAACAUGGAAUUCAGUUACAAAAACCUUUAAUUUUACCCAUUCGCAACUUGUCUCGAUGUUUUUUCUGUGUACCUUAGUUGAUAGACUCGAAGUUGUGUCUAAUUUAAGUCACCGCUAAACAGAUCGUUAGCCCUUAUGAACGAUUCAUCGAUUUUGUGAUGAAAACAUAUUUUAUAAUAAUAAAAUGAAAACAAACAGACAAUGGCCUGAAAGCAAAAACACGAAUGUGUUUAGCUUGAUUGAAAUCGAAAAGAAGCAAAGAAGAAAGAGAGAUUGGAGCUCACCGUUACUCUGGUUGUUUAACCCAUGGGUGCUCCUUUUAAUCGAUUAAAGUACCAUUACAUCAUGUAUCCAUUAAAUAUUAAAUACAAACGAAAAAUAAAAUAAAAAGAAUUGUGUGUAGUUGAGAUGUCACCAAGACAAAGAUGAAAGCUCAGGUUCACUGCCAAACGUGGAGUAGGGGAAAGCUUACGUGCUGAGUCGUGUAGCAAGUACAAACAGUAAUUGGGUGCAGAAACACAGUAAAGCCUGGCAACAAGGAACUUGAAUCAUACCGUUUUCGUUUUGUUUUCUGGAGUUCUACAAUGGUUGUUUUUAUAACUUUACUAGCACCGAUUCGGGCUCUCGAGACACACUUUUAAACAUAAUGACACAAAACAAUUUCCAUAAUUGUAAAUAAAAAUGGAAGGAACAGCCACAAUCACAGCAUAAACCAUAGACUCGAAUGAAUAAACAUAAAAAACUACCCAACAAUUUGUAAAUACCCUUGAAAAAACAUGGACUUGGCACUUCUUUGCUCCACGAGUACACCUACAUACAUAUUUGUAGUAGUUUCUAGUAGAUUCCCGUCAAUCAAAAACUAACGUAAAAGUAUUUUAAAUGUGCUCAAUAAGGCAAUGGGGGAAAUGGGGUAUAGUGCUUAAUAACUAAACAUUUUUAAGCUAAAAUCAUUUAAACAAUUGUAGCUGGAUAUCAACACACAGAAUAUGCCACUGCUUCUCUCUAUCAGUUCGAAAAAGUAUUAAAAAACGUCUCUUCAAAAUGCUACUUGCAUACUAUUAUAACACUUAAUCAUCGCACCUUAGCAUUA